rnacentral:rRNA from 1 species
GUCCACGCCCUAAACGAUGUCUACUAGUUGUCGGGUUUUAAUUAACUUGGUAACGCAGCUAACGCGUGAAGUAGACCGCCUGGGGAGUACGGUCGCAAGAUUAAAACUCAAAGGAAUUGACGGGGACCCGCACAAGCGGUGGAUGAUGUGGAUUAAUUCGAUGCAACGCGAAAAACCUUACCUACCCUUGACAUNUACGGAAGGCCGAAGAGAUUUGGUUGUGCUCGAAAGAGAACCGUAACACAGGUGCUGCAUGGCUGUCGUCAGCUCGUNUCGUNANNUGUUGGGUUACCUCCCGCAACGANCGCAACCCUUGUCAUUAGUUGCUACAUUNACCUGAGCACUCUUNUUGANNCUGCCCNNUGACAAUCCCCNNGGNAUGGUGGCG